CGUAACAGGAAAGAAUCAUCUCUAUUCCUCAAUUCCACCAGGAAACAGAUGUCCAACCAGGAAUUCACCUAGAAGCAAGCGCUAGAGUCCUGAACUCCUUAAUGAGUAGAAGACCGGAAAAGUGAUUGAACACCUUGGGACUUUAUUUUGUCCAUCUGUAAUUGGCAAAAUGCACUCCAUGUCUACUUUGUAGCUCCUCUCCUCAGAGAGACAGUAAUCAAAGAAAAUGAAAUGUGAAGGAGAUGGCCGCAGAUCCUGUUAGUGAGUGGAGUACCCAAGAGAAAAUAAAUAGGCUCUCAAGUGCCAGGCUGAAUGUAUCAAGGGACAAGUGAAGUAUUACAGAGAGAAAUGAAGUAAAAGAGGAGCUGAGAUGUGUUAAGUCUCUGAAAUUGACAGAAAGAGACAGAAUAGUCUUAUUGGGGAACCUGUUGAAGAUCCAGAAGUUGAAAUAUAUGGUUAGAAAUUCCAAGGGCCAAAAAUGUGAUCAGAAGUCAAAUACAGGAAAGAAACUUAGAUGAUUGGAGACCCUGUUCAAAGAUUACCUCCUUUAUAACAGCCUUGAGGCCCCAGGAAGAGUGAGUUGCUGUUGCCUCAGUGCCCCCAGGCUCUGAAAGUGCCUCUUCCUGCCUGGACUACAGCACCCAGCCCACUGGUUGAUGAAUGCCUGAUCCCGCGCCUACUCCACCAGAAGAAAGACCACUUCAACAGCAGUGAGAAGAAGGAAUCGGAGGUGGGUGAGGCGAGAGUCAAAGAGAACAGCCAGAGGAUGUUUGCAGUUAUCCAGGGGAGUAGAGCUGCUCGAAUGUGAAUAUCCUGGCAGGAGAGGGCAGCUGUGCUCACAGUGAGCUGGGUAUUGUAGAUGCUUCAGCUGCUUCUCUCUAAGACCCAUUGUUGGAGGCUUCUGAAGGAGCCCAGCUUCCUGUUUCAAGGGCAAAGACUACACUCUGGAAGCAUGGAUCCUGGACAGCCCAUGCUCCCGAGCUUCUGCAGAUGAAGGUAAGAGAAGGGUGGGCCCCCUACACCCCCCACAGACCGACAGAAGCUCUCUCUUACCUGCCAGUGGAGAUUCCACUCACCCCACCCUGUGCAAGGAACAACGGGGUUUCAUCGUCUCUCUGGAAAGCUGCAGAUGGCCCAUUUUUGCAUUCUUCCCAUUUCUUAAA